rfam:Camelus ferus unplaced genomic scaffold scaffold765, whole genome shotgun sequence.
GAGGGUAUAUCUCAGUGGUAGAGUGUAUGCUUAGCAUGCACGAGGUCCUGGGUUCAAUCCCCAGUACCUCCA